AACGAACGCUGGCGGCAGGCUUAACACAUGCAAGUCGAGCGCCCCGCAAGGGGAGCGGCAGACGGGUGAGUAACGCGUGGGAAUCUACCCAUCUCUACGGAACAACUCCGGGAAACUGGAGCUAAUACCGUAUACGUCCUUCGGGAGAAAGAUUUAUCGGAGAUGGAUGAGCCCGCGUUGGAUUAGCUAGUUGGUGGGGUAAUGGCCUACCAAGGCGACGAUCCAUAGCUGGUCUGAGAGGAUGAUCAGCCACACUGGGACUGAGACACGGCCCAGACUCCUACGGGAGGCAGCAGUGGGGAAUAUUGGACAAUGGGCGAAAGCCUGAUCCAGCCAUGCCGCGUGAGUGAUGACGGCCCUAGGGUUGUAAAGCUCUUUCGCAGGUGAAGAUAAUGACGGUAACCUGAGAAGAAGCCCCGGCUAACUUCGUGCCAGCCGCCGCGGUAAUAC
rnacentral:rRNA from 1 species